UACGAAGGGGGCUAGCGUUGUUCGGAAUUACUGGGCGUAAAGCGCGCGCAGGCGGCUAUCCAAGUCAGUGGUGAAAGCCCGGAGCUCAACUCCGGAACUGCCAUUGAAACUGUUUAGCUUGAGGAUGAGAGAGGUGAGUGGAAUUCCCAGUGUAGAGGUGAAAUUCGUAGAUAUUGGGAAGAACACCGGUGGCGAAGGCGGCUCACUGGCUCAUUACUGACGCUCAGGCGCGAUAGCGUGGAGAUCAAACAGG
rnacentral:rRNA from 1 species